GUGCCAGCCGCCGCGGUAAUACGUAGGUGGCGAGCGUUGUUCGGAUUUAUUGGGUGUAAAGGGUCCGCAGGGGGUUGAUUAAGUCUGACGUGAAAUCUCUGAGCUCAACUCAGAAAUUGCGUUGGAGACUGGUUGACUAGAGUGUUGGAGAGGUAAUUGGAAUUCCAGGUGUAGCGGUGGAAUGCGUGGAUAUCUGACAGAACAUCGAAAGCGAAAACGGAUUACUGGACAACAACUGACUCUCAGGGACGGAAGCAUGGGGAGCAAACAGGAUUAGAUACCCUGGUAG
rnacentral:rRNA from 1 species